GCAAGGUUAACCGCAUAGGGGAGCCGGAGGGAAACCGAGUCUUAACCGGGCGUUAAGUUGCAGGGUAUAGACCCGAAACCCGGUGAUCUAGCCAUGGGCAGGUUGAAGGUUGGGUAACACUAACUGGAGGACCGAACCGACUAAUGUUGAAAAAUUAGCGGAUGACCUGUGGCUGGGGGUGAAAGGCCAAUCAAACCGGGAGAUAGCUGGUUCUCCCCGAAAGCUAUUUAGGUAGCGCCUCGUGAAUUCAUCUCCGGGGGUAGAGCACUGUUUCGGCUAGGGGGCCAUCCCGGCUUACCAACCCGAUGCAAACUGCGAAUACCGGAGAAUGUUAUCACGGGAGACACACGGCGGGUGCUAACGUCCGUCGUGAAGAGGGAAACAACCCAGACCGCCAGCUAAGGUCCCAAAGUCAUGGUUAAGUGGGAAACGAUGUGGGAAGGCCCAGACAGCCAGGAUGUUGGCUUAGAAGCAGCCAUCAUUUAAAGAAAGCGUAAUAGCUCACUGGUCGAGUCGGCCUGCGCGGAAGAUGUAACGGGGCUAAACCAUGCACCGAAGCUGCGGCAGCGACGCUUAUGCGU
rnacentral:rRNA from 1 species